GAGUUAUCCAAAUGAAACAUGAUCUCAAAUAUUGAUAGUAGCAUUGCAGUAAACCAUAUAUAAAAAAGAUAUCAGCAUGCCAAUUAUUUAGUUGGUGCAAUGCAUUGAAUGUGAGUAAUAUCAAAAAAACAUAAAUGAUUUCCAAACAGAUACAUCGAAUCAUGAUUCAAUUUUUGACAAAAAGAAGGAAACACACAUAAGAGAUAUCUUGCAGCACGUGCAGAUGGAGUAUAGGAAUGUAUGCUUUCAUGCAGUAUGGUCUUUAUAAUAGUGCAGAGAAUUUUGGGGUAAAUGUGAAAGCACUGGAGACUAAUAGGACAUCUUCAAAAAAGUUAGAGAUGCCUACUUCUAGUACUAACAAGAAUAGUGUGUUAUGUCUGUUUAUCUGCGUAAUAGGACUCACAAUAUUGAUUAAAAUCUUAAUACUGAUAAAAAGUUUCUUAAAAUAGUACAAAAAAGCAGUAGAUUAUAAAUAUAAACUUCAUUAGGUGAAAUACUUUCAGUAAAAAAAUCAACUUUGGUACCUACAAAACAUAUAAAAGAUAAUAUUUCAAAUCAGACUAUAGAACAAUUACAUUUUAUAAAAUUUAACUGUUAUUCUUAAUACAUUGCCAAUAAGUUAAUUA
rnacentral:lncRNA from 1 species